UCAUGCCUCUUACAGCAGUAGGGAAAGCUUCUGCUUUGCAUGCAGAAGGUGCCAGGUUCGAUUCCUGGUGUGUCCAA